GUCUCCACGGUGACCAGCUCAUUUCCAGGGGAUCCCCUGCCAAGAGGCGGACCUCGACGACAGCGUUAUUACGCUUCCAGCGUAACAGGCCAACUCUGCUCGCUAUUUCAUUUUUCUUUAAGUGUUUUGAUAAUUUACUUACAUAACAGUGUUGCGUUCUCUACAUCAGCAGCUGCUGUACAUUUAUAAUGGGUAUAAUAUCGAUAAUGGCCACUUAGCUGACUUAAUAACUCUUUCUCCCCCCCCGGUGGGUUUGUUGUUUAUCGGUACUACCUAGCUAUGUGUUUCAGCGGGCAUGCAUGGCUCGGUUUUAGGUGGGUGUCUACGUAGAUGCAUAGGCUUCCUAGAAGUGGGGUUUAUUUCAGGAAGAUGCACUUGCUUGGAACCCCCCACAACCCUCAGCCCCUUUAAUAACCUCCCUAAUGACACCACCCUCAUCAGACUACAUACGGCAGAGGGGAGGAUGUGCAGUUCCAGGAUGUCUCCCACACACACCUCUCAAAGCCGGAAAUAAUAGUAUUACAACCGCAGUCAGAUCUCCUCUCUGGAAAUUGUAUGCCCUUCCCCCAUAGAUGAAGUGUUUCUAUUUGUUUGGUUGGAUUUAUUUUUUCGAGUGUCGGAGUUACUUAUUUUCCCUCUCAUGGCUAUACGUGAGAAAAUAACAUUUUCCUCAACACUUUUAAUUAGCAUGCGUCCAUGUCUACAACACAUAAAAAAAGUAUCGACCUUUUGAUACGUUAAACAGUUUGCCACGGAUGUUGUUGCAGCUGCGGAAUAAACCGUUUGUAUUUAUUUAACAAUUUAAAAGUGCUUACAGAGGCGAUCUCAAACAAACACAGGCCUCUGCAUUGAAACUAUUUAUUAUUUCCCGCUGUAAGGUUGAGGAAAAACCGUAUUGAUGGGGGAAGGGAUGCACACACUAGUUAUUAAUGAAAGACCUUAAAAGCUUGUUUUGCUGUUGUUUAAAGCGAUUCAUGUUAAAUUGGCCCUGAGCCAAUUAAGCACUAAAGAGGUUCAGCUGUGCCUGGUAAAUGUCCAAUAAUGCCGUGCUGCGUAUCAGGUCUACAGAAUCCCAGAGCCACCUAUGACCCUCACAAACUUACCCCCGGAGACGAGCUACAUCAUGUAGACGUGGAGCCAGGCGAGGCUGCAGAGGUGGGAUGGUGAACAUGCUGGGAAUCCAGAAUGUUCCAUCGGACGGCCUUCCUUUGGUUUGCUGUGGACUCCACAAACAAGCGCUGAUCGUCUAGAUGCACUUCACUGCAGAAGCCCUGAAGUUGGGACCGCUGGAGCGCAGAAGGAAUCUCCUUCAAGAGGAAGGAACGGGCGGGGAGACACAACAGAUAGUGGAGGAUGACCUUCAGAGCUGUGUGCAGGGGAGAGCCAUCAGAAUAAAUUAGGCUGGCAGAAGAAGUGAAAAGCUUGUGGCUCACAUUGGACAGGGGGCUGGUGAGGAGGAGAUGCAGGGGGUGAUGCACAAGCACCCGAUGAAGUAUGCAGGCCUCUGGGGGGGCCGGAGAACCACUGAGACCCCUUGAUUGACAAUGAGACUCCUUGAUUGACACUUGAGACCCCCUGACAGCCGCAAUAGCAAAAUGUCACUGGGGGUCCUAAUGUCCAAUAUUCAUUUUUCAAAUUGCAAAACAUGGAUUCACAAACAUAAAUAGGCUCCAGAAAAACAUUAUUGUGGUGCUCGAUCUGAAUCAUUCAUUGAAUCCCAGAAAGGCCUUCUUCCAGUUGCAAAUGCUCCGCAAUCCAAAUGUUGUGCGAUUUAGAAAACCUGAACAGAUAAACAGCAGCACAGCAGCAUUCUGGAAGCAGACUACCGACAGCAAGUAGAUUGUGUGGAGAGGAUGACCCAGUCUUUAGAAGUUCCAUCUGAACGCUGUCUCCUCCUACCUUUGUACCCCCCC
ensembl:lncRNA